AACGAACGCUGGCGGCAGGCUUAACACAUGCAAGUCGAACGCCCCGCAAGGGGAGUGGCAGACGGGUGAGUAACGCGUGGGAAUCUACCGUACCCUACGGAACAACAGUUGGAAACGACUGCUAAUACCGUAUACGCCCUACGGGGGAAAGAUUUAUCGGGGUAUGAUGAGCCCGCGUUGGAUUAGCUAGUUGGUGGGGUAAGGGCCUACCAAGGCGACGAUCCAUAGCUGGUCCGAGAGGAUGAUCAGCCACAUUGGGACUGAGACACGGCCCAAACUCCUACGGGAGGCAGCAGUGGGGAAUAUUGGACAAUGGGCGCAAGCCUGAUCCAGCCAUGCCGCGUGAGUGAUGAAGGUCUUAGGAUUGUAAAGCUCUUUCACCGAUGAAGAUAAUGACGGUAGUCGGAGAAGAAGCCCCGGCUAACUUCGUGCCAGCCGCCGCGGUAA
rnacentral:rRNA from 1 species